rnacentral:lncRNA from 1 species
UGUUUGUCAUAGUAGGUGCAUAAACUACUGGAAUAUCUACCAGCUUGUCAUCUUCCCCUUUGGUUUUCAGACACCCAUGAAUCUCAUUAGCACCACCUGUUCUUGUCAUUGGGUCUGAUCCCCCUGUUCUACUUGAUCUCCAAAGGGAACAUGGAACCAUUCUAGUACUUUAUGCACCCACUUUCCAUUGACUAAUGGUGCUUGAGGCUACACCUUGACCACCACUUUUACCCUGGUUUGACCAUUGAUGUUCCUAUAGGGCACACUUUGUUGGAAAACCUCCUCCAAUUAUAACAUCAAAAACCUCCGAAUUAAUUAAAGUCUUCCGACAGUUAAUUGAUCUGAAAAGAUGAUGACAAUCUGUGAAUAAACCUUCACCAAAAACCCUCUCAAUUUACUGCACUUUUUCUUUUGCACUCACCGAUUUUCUUUCAUUUCCUCUCUAUUUCGUGUAUUCCUAUCAAAACUGAGCACUCAAAAUUUUUGAGUAAUAAUUAUGCCUCACAGAGCCCAAUAUAUAUAUAUAUACUCCCUGAUGCACCAAGUUGACUUCAGAUUUGAAA